rnacentral:rRNA from 1 species
UGUAGCGGUGGAAUGCGUAGAUAUAUGGAAGAACACCAGUGGCGAAGGCGGCUGUCUAGUCUGUAACUGACGCUGAGGCUCGAAAGCAUGGGUAGCGAACAGGAUUAGAUACCCUGGUAGUCCAUGCCGUAAACGAUGAGUGCUAAGUGUUGGAGGGUUUCCCCCUUCAGUGCUGCAGCUAACGCAUUAAGCACUCCGCCUGGGGAGUACGACCGCAAGGUUGAAACUCAAAGGAAUUGACGGGGGCCCGCACAAGCGGUGGAGCAUGUGGUUUAAUUCGAAGCUACGCGAAGAACCUUACCAGGUCUUGACAUCUUCUGCCAAUCUUAGAGAUAAGACGUUCCCUUCGGGGACAGAAUGACAGGUGGUGCAUGGUUGUCGUCAGCUCGUGUCGUGAGAUGUUGGGUUAAGUCCCGCAACGAGCGCAACCCUUAUUAUCAGUUGCCAGCAUUCAGUUGGGCACUCUGGUGAGACUGCCGGUGACAAACCGGAGGAAGGUGGGGAUGACGUCAAAUCAUCAUGCCCCUUAUGACCUGGGCUACACACGUGCUACAAUGGACGGUACAACGAGUCGCGAAGUCGUGAGGCUAAGCUAAUCUCUUAAAGCCGUUCUCAGUUCGGAUUGUAGGCUGCAACUCGCCUACAUGAAGUUGGAAUCGCUAGUAAUCGCGGAUCAGCAUGCCGCGGUGAAUACGUUCCCGGGCCUUGUACACACCGCCCGUCACACCAUGAGAGUUUGUAACACCCAAAGCCGGUGAGAUAACCUUCGGGAGUCAGCCGUCUAAGGUGGGACAGAUGAUUAGGGUGAAGUCGUAACAAGGUAACCAGGGCG